GCUUGAAAGCCUCUUUCAGCUUUUUUCUUGAUUGAUAGCAGGCGUGGCACAGGCAGACACACCACCGCCCAUCCCCUUUCUGUACACCAACUCGCCCUCACCUUCUCUCCGUUCGGCUCCUGCGUACAAAAGCAUCCGACCAUAGCAACAUCGUAGUGCUUGUGGAUAUCUGCAGAUCAUGGUUCGUUUCGUUGCUGGCGCCGCCGCCGGCCUAGUAGGCGGUGUUAGCGCUGGUGCCAUGUGGAGUACCACGCAGCAGUCGGAGCACUUAGCGGCCAAGUGUGCCAAGAAACCAGUGAACACGUUCUCCCCCGAUAGCUACAAGCCAUUCAAGUUGAUUUCCUCUCGGUACGAGUCGCACGAUACGCGCCGCUUUUACUUUGCCCUCGAUAGCCCCGAUGAUAGCUUCUACAUGCCAGUUGCUUCGUGCAUUAUCGCGAAGUACACCGAUGCAGACGGCAAGGACGUUGCUCGGCCAUACACUCCCAUCUCCUCUAAUAGCACCAAGGGCCACUUUGAACUCGUUGUGAAGAAGUAUCCAAAAGGAAAAAUGGGCAACUAUCUGUUCUCCAUGCAACCAGGCGACGAACUGCUCGUCAAGGGCCCCUUUGAGAAGUUUGCGUACAAGCCCAACAUGUGGAAGCACGUGGGCAUGAUUGCCGGCGGCACCGGCAUCUCUCCAAUGUACCAGGUGAUUCGUGCCGUGCUAGAGAAUCCCAAAGACAAGACCAACAUUUCUCUCAUCUAUGCCAACAACCAACGCCGCGACAUUCUGCUUGCUAACGAGCUGAUUGAGAUGCAGAAGGUCUACAACAACUUCAACAUGUAUUUGACCCUUCUGGAGGUGCCGCACCGGUGGCUAGGCGGUAUCGGCUAUGUGAAUAGUGCCAUGGUAACCACCUUUAUGCCGAAGCCGGGGGAGAAGAACACGAAGAUCCUCGUAUGUGGCCCCCCUCCGAUGAUGCAGGCCAUCAGCGGCGACAAGCUAUUUGAGCCUGGCAAGCCGCCUCAGCAGGGCCAGGUAAGUGGCCUGCUGAAAACGCUAGGCUACACGGAGGAGCAGGUCUUCAAGUACUGAGCGCGCACCGUCGACUGACUUCACCCGCAUCUCUGCGUGAAAGAAAGAGCCAGCAGCCGAAGAUGUGGGUGCAGGGGGGGGGCAGCCAACAUCAGUCCCCUGUUGAGGUACGCAAGAGACCGAUUCGGCGGUUUUGAUGCGCAUUGUGUAUGCUGCGCAGUAGAUACCCCUGAGUCCCAUAUGACGUUCGACGCGGCUGAUGACGAGAUGGCACUCGCGAAGACGACGCGAAGUGCCCUACAGCCUAACAGGCGACAGAGGUGUGUGUGUGUGUGUGUGUGUAGGUGGGGGGGUGCGACGCUGCCAAGUGGGCCAAGCACGUCGGUAGGGUAGAGCAAAUGGUGGUGCGGCAGUGGCUGCGCACUGCGUCUGGUGUUCUAUUAUUGUUGUCCCUCCUCUGCUUUCCGCUUCCGCCUUCCCCCACCUCUUCCGGCCUUCUCUUUCGCGUCUCCGUUCGCUGUAUGUUUGAGACUUCUGUACGGGCGCGUGUGUGUAAAAUGUUUUUCCUAAUAUAUCUUUCUUUUUGGCUUCUCUUCCUCUUUUCUUGCGUUCUCCCCAGUCGUUUCCCCAGUCCCUUUGUUUCUCCUUUUCCCUCCUCUCUCGGUGCACUCAUGAUGGCGCUACACCUCAGGGUAAUGUAGGGGUCCGUUACUCCCACCCUGAGUGGGGAGAAGCCACCCAGUCCCUAGCCCCUAACAAUGCCAAAACCGCUUGUGGCGGUGCCAGGCUCAAGUACCUAGCAUGUGCGGAGGGGUCACAGCGAUGUACCGCCGCUGGUAUGCCGGCGGUCAGGCGCUGGAUGGCGCGGCAUCGCGGGCGACCCGCGACGGUGCACACGCUUGCGCAUCCGCAUGAUGGGCACAGCGCCAACCGAGCUCGAGCGUAUCCCACCCGGCCCUCACUGCCUGCUGAUGGGGAGCCUGCGUGCCACGCCGAGGAGGAUGCACCAGGUGGCGACCGGCAUGAGGGGAGCCGGCUGCGAGGCGGCCCGCGGAGCGGUGGCGCGUAGCGUGUGAGGCAGAGGCCGUGCUCUCAGCUGACUGGGACGGCGCACGGCUGCAACGCGUGUGCGAACGGCAUGCUUCGCACCAGGCGACGGGGCCCGCGGCAGACUGGCGGGUGGUGGUGUGGCGUGGUGUAGAGUGGUGUGUGACUCAUACAGACAGCGAAUAGGACCAUCGAAAAACGAGGAAUGAAGCUUCUCUCUCUUUGCUGCAGUGGUGCGAGGUGGUGUUGGGGAUGAUGGUCGUCUUUUGGUGCCACCAUGGGCGCCGGCAACAAGGCGCACACACAAACACCAAUAUGCCCACCGCCACACCACCGUACACGGACGCCAAGCAACAGCAACGGAAAGAAAACAUAAGAUAAGAGCCGAUGCAGUAGAGGACUAUCGAUAGCGUCUAGCGAGUGUAGAGUAUGCAGACAUUAAC
rnacentral:misc_RNA from 1 species